rnacentral:lncRNA from 1 species
GUACCCGUCCUUGACGGUGAGCGUGGUGUCCGAGGGGUCGAUCCGGGUGCAGACCCUUCUGACCUUGAUCCGCCUGCACGAGCCCUCGAAGCCGUCGCUCAGGGGGCUCUCGUCGGCGUGCGCGGCCUCGGCGUUGCCGCUGCCGUUGUUGGCGUCGCCCGAAUUCGAGGGCGGCUCCAGGCUGCCCCUGCUCCUCUUCCUGCUCACCGCCGGCGGCGUUGGCGGCGACGCGGCUUGCGAGGCGCGCGUCGAGUCCGAGCCGUCGGGGGGACUCGGCCUGGCGAACGGGCUGGCGUAGAGGUAGGCGAUCAUCUCGCUCAGCCGCCGGUUCUCC